UGAGGAAUAUUGGUCAAUGGGCGAGAGCCUGAACCAGCCAAGUAGCGUGCAGGAUGACGGCCCUAUGGGUUGUAAACUGCUUUUAUGUGGGGAUAAAGUGCGUGACGUGUCAUGCAUUGCAGGUACCACAUGAAUAAGGACCGGCUAAUUCCGUGCCAGCAGCCGCGGUAAUACGGAAGGUCCGGGGGUUAUCCGGAUCUAUUGGGUUUAAAGGGAGCGUAGGCUGUCUAUUAAGCGUGUUGUGAAAUUUACCGGCUCAACCGGUGGCUUGCAGCGCGAACUGGUCGACUUGAGUAUGCAGGAAGUAGGCGGAAUUCAUGGUGUAGCGGUGAAAUGCUUAGAUAUCAUGACGAACUCCGAUUGCGCAGGCAGCUUACUGUAGCAUAACUGACGCUGAUGCUCGAAAGUGCGGGUAUCAAACAGG
rnacentral:rRNA from 1 species